GGUGAGUAACACGUGAAUAACCUACCUAUAAGACUGGGAUAACUUCGGGAAACCGGAGCUAAUACCGGAUAAUAUUUUGAACCGCAUGGUUCAAAAGUGAAAGACGGUCUUGCUGUCACUUAUAGAUGGAUCCGCGCUGCAUUAGCUAGUUGGUAAGGUAACGGCUUACCAAGGCAACGAUGCAUAGCCGACCUGAGAGGGUGAUCGGCCACACUGGAACUGAGACACGGUCCAG
rnacentral:rRNA from 1 species